ensembl:misc_RNA
CUAUAAAAGAUGUAACAGAUGCAAACUGUAACACAAGGGCCAUUAACCCUUUCUCUGCCUCGGAGCACACUCAGUCCCUACGCCCCGCACCUAUUGUCUCCUGUGCUAGAAGCUUUGCGGAAAACCUGGAA